CCCGCGCCGAGGGCCCCGCUCCGCCGACAUCUCCCCCGACGCUCGCGCGGAGCCGGGACAGCCGUGCGGGCGCCCGGCCCGACGCGCAGAGGGCCCCCCGCGCCCCCUCCAGGCCCGGUCCAGGCGCGCCCGUCCUCGCCGCGCGCUCCCACCUGAACUCGGCACGGCCGGCCGGCGGCCAGGCCCGGCGAUCCCGGGCCCACGCGGGCUGCGCUGGGGGCGGCGGCCGCGCGUCCCGCACUCACUCGCCUCGCCCGGCCCGCGUCGCUGCGGCCGAGCCCCCGCCGCCGCCGCCGCUUCUCGGCGCUCACUCCCCGGGCUCACGUGACGCGCCGGGCGCCGCGAAGGCUCGCAGGAGGCUCGGCCUCGGGCGCGCGCCCCAUUGGCCCGCGCCGCGCGUCACGCGCCCAGGGCCCGCCCCCUGCCCCGCCCCGGACCCGCCCCUGCCCGGCCAGGCCCCGCCCAUUAGCCCCUCCUAGGCCCAGGCCCGCCGCUGCCCCGCCCUUCCAGUCGCAGUGGCCUGGUCGCGGCGGCUCCGGAGGUUUCAGCCCGGGUGAAAACGAACUUGGGCCUGGCCUGCGGCUCAGAGGAGGGUCCAUGCGGGCUGGGCGCCGCCGGACAGCCCCGGCCCGACCCUCCCUACCCCGCUCCCAUCUGCAGCCCCGGGCGGCCAACAGGCAAAGCCAGGACUUGUCCGGGACGUUGCUGGAGAGAUGCGGGCGAGCGUCCGCCAACAUUUUACGGAUGAAGAGGACUCUGAGGCCGCGGUCCCCCCGGAAACAGCUGGACACUGCUGGAGCCGGGACUGAUCGCUGGGACCUGUCUAGGCUCUCCGGAGCGCUGUGGGUCUGGGCUCCUAAGACUAUGCGGGACAUUGGACCCUGCAUCCUGGGACCCUCCCCAUGCACGCCGCAGAGCCAGGCAUACCAAUCCGGCUGCCACCAGGGAUCAAACUGGGGCUCCGUGGGAGGAUUUGAUCAAGGAUGGCGAUGGUGCUGUCUGCCCCGCCUGAACAUUCAUGCAGGUCCUGGCCAGCAUCCGCAGCACAGACCCAGCUCACUCCUUUUCAUAGAAGAGACAGAGGUUCACUGCCUGGUCUCUGUGCAAUUGAGAGGCAGGCACAUCCCUGCCUGUCACCCGUCCUGUGCUCCUCACACACUCUCAGGCCAGUCUUCCCCAUCUUCUCACUGGCAAUCACACCGAAAGGUCAGAAGAAGCUUGGCAACUAAGGUGCAUCCGUAG
rnacentral:lncRNA from 1 species